GACGAACGCUGGCGGCGUGCUUAACACAUGCAAGUCGAACGAUGAAGCUGGAGCUUGCUCCGGUGGAUUAGUGGCGAACGGGUGAGUAACACGUGAGCAAUCUGCCCUUGACUCUAGGAUAACUGCGGGAAACGGUAGCUAAUACCGGAUACGAGAUUGGGAGGCAUCUCCGGAUCUGGAAAGAAUUUCGGUCAAGGAUGAGCUCGCGGCCUAUCAGCUUGUUGGUGAGGUAAUGGCUCACCAAGGCGACGACGGGUAGCCGGCCUGAGAGGGUGACCGGCCACACUGGGACUGAGACACGGCCCAGACUCCUACGGGAGGCAGCAGUGGGGAAUAUUGCACAAUGGGCGAAAGCCUGAUGCAGCAACGCCGCGUGAGGGAUGAAGGCCUUCGGGUUGUAAACCUCUUUUAGUAGGGAAGAAGCGAAAGUGACGAUACCUACAGAAAAAGCACCGGCUAACUACGUGCCAGCAGCCGCAGUAA
rnacentral:rRNA from 1 species